rnacentral:misc_RNA from 1 species
UCAUUUCAACCAUCAAGCGCCUGCGCUUGUGUUGGAGCCCUGCGGCUGCCGCAGCUCCCAAACCCAGUGGCGGGCUCGUCGUCGUACCGAGUGCAGUAAACUUACCACGCUCAGGGCACGCGACGGGUGACCGGCCGUAAAACCCCCCAAACUUAUACAAGGUUGACCUCGGAUCAGGUAGGAAUACCCGCUGAACUUAA